CGUUGAGUCCUGUGUUGCCAUAGCAACCCGUCAUGUUGUCAUCGCAUUUCCCUUAAUAUUUGGCGUCAUCUACCGGAUACUCAGCGGAGAUUGUUUGAAAAAUUUGUUACAACUAAAAUGUAUCCGUUUUAAAUAAUAAUUUAGUAGAUUCCCACAGAUUCCCCACAAAAUACCGUAGAUGCUUCAAGUAGUGUUCCCAGAGGAAACCCGAGACACAUUUAGCAUGUCGUGGAUGUGAUUUUAAAUAAAUGUAUUUGUGAAUUUAUGUUUUAGGGUGAACUAAGAACAGAAACGCAGGAGAAAUUUGCUGGUUUUGAUGUAUCAUCAUUUACUGGAGAAGGGGUAUAUGGAUUCAGCUAAAGCUUUGGAAAAAUAAAGCUGUUUUGAGGUGUGUGAUAAUGUUGACCUGGAGACUGAUCUUAUGGAAUAUGAGUUAUUAUUUUAUAAAGUUUCAGAAGUAUACCAAACUAACAAAGACACUGGCAGAACAAGGAGAGAGUCGGCUUGUAAAGAGUUGAGGUAAAAGAAGGUAUGCACAGUACUUUUACCCCAAGAACAUUUAAAGACGCUGUGUAAUUUCUUUUUAAUCACCAUGUAUGUGUAUUAAUUUGUGAAAAGACGUCAUCAUCCAGUCACACACUCCCAAGAAUCAACUCCAUCCAGCGACGUCCUUCCAGAAACAGAGUUAAAAAGACUGACUCUAAACUAACGGGUAUAAUAAUUCUGAAGCACCCCUCAUCCCUUUUGUCUGACAGGAGCGUUUGCUGAAACCCAUAAGUGCCUUCAUUGGGAUGUACAGUAAUUUGAGGGAACCUGCUUCGGUUAUUAGCUUCAUGUUAUUAAGUCCAUGUUUAUGAAAUUGCUUCCUUGUGUGGCAGUUUGUCAUUUUACCAUAAAAGUAAUAAUAAAAAUACACUUAGCAUGAAGACA